GAUGAACGCUGGCGGCGUGCCUAAUACAUGCAAGUCGAGCGAACAGAUGAGGAUCUUGCUCCUCUGACGUUAGCGGCGGACGGGUGAGUAACACGUGAAUAACCUACCUAUAAGACUGGGAUAACUUCGGGAAACCGGAGCUAAUACCGGAUAAUAUAUUGAACCGCAUGGUUCAGUAGUGAAAGACGGUUUUGCUGUCGCUUAUAGAUGUAUCCGCGCCGCAUUAGCUAGUUGGUAAGGUAACGGCUUACCAAGGCAACGAUGCGUAGCCGACGUGAGAAGGUGAACGGCGACACUGGAACUGAGACACGGUCCAGAGUCCUACGGGAGGCCGCAGUAGGUAAGCUUCCGCACUGGGCGAAAGCCUGACGGAGCAACGCCGCGUUAGUGAUGAAGGUCUGCGGAUCGUAUAACGCUGUUAUUAGGGAAGAACAAAUGUGUAAGUAACUAUGCACGUCUUGACGGUAGCUAAUCAGAAAGCCCCGGCUAACUACGUG
rnacentral:rRNA from 1 species